AACUAGUGAUGAAUAACGCUUUUGGUCCGUGUUUCUGAUAACCACUGAUUAUAUUCUCAAAAGCUCUGACCCU
rfam:Tribolium castaneum strain Georgia GA2 linkage group LG5, whole genome shotgun sequence.